rnacentral:rRNA from 1 species
UACGGAGGGUGCGAGCGUUAAUCGGAAUUACUGGGCGUAAAGGGUUCGUAGGUGGUUAUAUAAGUCAGAUGUGAAAUACUUGGGCUCAACCUGAGAACUGCAUUUGAUACUGUUUAACUAGAGUUCGGUAGAGGAUUGGGGAAUUUCCGGUGUAGCGGUGAAAUGCGUAGAGAUCGGAAGGAACAUCAAUGGCGAAGGCAACAAUCUGGACCUGAACUGACACUGAGGGACGAAAGCGUGGGUAGCAAACAGG